rnacentral:rRNA from 1 species
GGGUUGUGAGGUUAAGCGACCAAGCGUACACGGUGGAUGCCCUGGCAGUCAGAGGCGAUGAAGGACGUGCUAAUCUGCGAAAAGCGCCGGUAAGGUGAUAUGAACCGUUAUAACCGGCGAUGUCCGAAUGGGGAAACCCAGUGUGACUCGUCACACUAUCAUUAACUGAAUCCAUAGGUUAAUGAGGCGAACCGGGGGAACUGAAACAUCUAAGUACCCCGAGGAAAAGAAAUCAACCGAGAUUCCCCCAGUAGCGGCGAGCGAACGGGGAGGAGCCCAGAGCCUGAAUCAGCAUGUGUGUUAGUGGAAGCGUCUGGAAAGGCGCGCGAUACAGGGUGAGAGCCCCGUACACAAAAGCGCACGUGCUGUGAGCUCGAUGAGUAGGGCGGGACACGUGGUAUCCUGUCUGAAUAUGGGGGGACCAUCCUCCAAGGCUAAAUACUCCUGACUGACCGAUAGUGAACCAGUACCGUGAGGGAAAGGCGAAAAGAACCCCGGCGAGGGGAGUGAAACAGAACCUGAAACCGUGUACGUACAAGCAGUGGGAGCCCCACCACUAAGCCAGUGGUGAACUCCACAUACGCAUCCUUUGCUGAGGAUACGGUUAACGGAGCGAAAGCGACGUUCAGCCGCAAAAGAAGCAGAGGGGGCUUAGUGGUGGGGUGACUGCGUACCUUUUGUAUAAUGGGUCAGCGACUUAUAUUCUGUAGCAAGGUUAACCGCAUAGGGGAGCCGGAGGGAAACCGAGUCUUAAUUGGGCGUUAAGUUGCAGGGUAUAGACCCGAAACCCGGUGAUCUAGCCAUGGGCAGGUUGAAGGUUGGGUAACACUAACUGGAGGACCGAACCGACUAAUGUUGAAAAAUUAGCGGAUGACCUGUGGCUGGGGGUGAAAGGCCAAUCAAACCGGGAGAUAGCUGGUUCUCCCCGAAAGCUAUUUAGGUAGCGCCUCGUGAAUUCAUCUCCGGGGGUAGAGCACUGUUUCGGCCAGGGGGCCAUCCCGGCUUACCAAUCCGAUGCAAACUGCGAAUACCGGAGAAUGUUAUCACGGGAGACACACGGCGGGUGCUAACGUCCGUCGUGAAGAGGGAAACAACCCAGACCGCCAGCUAAGGUCCCAAAGUCAUGGUUAAGUGGGAAACGAUGUGGGAAGGCCCAGACAGCCAGGAUGUUGGCUUAGAAGCAGCCAUCAUUUAAAGAAAGCGUAAUAGCUCACUGGUCGAGUCGGCCUGCGCGGAAGAUGUAACGGGGCUAAACCAU